AUGCACGCUGGCGGCGUGCCUCAUACAUGCCAGUCGAGCGCACGGACGAGAAGCUUGCUUUUCUGAUGUUAGCGGCGGACGGGUGAGUAACACGUGGAUAACCUACCUAUAAGACUGGGAUAACUUCGGGAAACCGGAGCUAAUACCGGAUAAUAUUUUGAACCGCAUGGUUCAAAAGUGAAAGACGGUCUUGCUGUCACUUAUAGAUGGAUCCGCGCUGCAUUAGCUAGUUGGUAAGGUAACGGCUUACCAAGGCAACGAUGCAUAGCCGACCUGAGAGGGUGAUCGGCCACACUGGAACUGAGACACGGUCCAGACUCCUACGGGAGGCAGCAGUAGGGAAUCUUCCGCAAUGGGCGAAAGCCUGACGGAGCAACGCCGCGUGAGUGAUGAAGGUCUUCGGAUCGUAAAACUCUGUUAUUAGGGAAGAACAUAUGUGUAAGUAACUGUGCACAUCUUGACGGUACCUAAUCAGAAAGCCACGGCUAACUACGUG
rnacentral:rRNA from 1 species